AAAGGUGGACGUGCCGGAGUGGUUAUC
rnacentral:sRNA from 1 species